UCUCCCGUUUUCCUUUUUGCGAUUACGCACGCCUGUGUGUCACGCUGGCAUAGUUUGUUUUUGUUGUUUGAUUGGAUGAUCCGUGUUACUUUACUCGCUCGCGCGCCUAAGUAUGCCUUUUGCUUAGUCGGGCAGGUGCUAGUUGAAAACUGAGGGGAAAAAUGUCUCGCGACCGCGGCCGUGCCCAGGUAGGUGCCCUGCCGCCGCCGCGCUGAUCUGCCUUCUCCGGCCUCCUCCACCCUUGCUGAGGCCAGAUCCGGGAUCCCCUACACGCCCUCUCUCUCUCCCACCUUCCAGUCCAGCCUCGGAAGCCUGCGUCGGAGGCUGCCGAGCUCCAUCUCCCCGGCAAUCUUCCCUGCAACCUUCGGCGACUCCGCGUCCCGUCGCGGGCCGCGUCGUCGCUCCGCCUCGACCGGCACCACCGACAGGGAGAAAAAAUUUGCGCUCGGUAAUUCUCUUAGCAGGGGGGCUCUUUUUCUUGUAAUGGUCACUGUUGCCCAUCCAGGUGGUGUAUGAAAACAAAGCUACGGUUAUGAUGCGACCAACCAGAUUCUAAAUUCUGGUUAUGAAAUUAGAUCUACUUUUUGGUUAUAAAAUUAGAUCUACUUUUUGGUUAUGGUUGAUAGCAUUUCACGAAUUUGUAGAAUAGUUAGUCAACUUCCAGCCGAAAUGGUGAUAGUAUGCAUCCAUCUCUUUACUUGGCACCUUUCAAAUUAAGUUGAAUAAAAGCGUGGUUUGGCGCGAACCUUGUGUAGAUCUAGUGCAACAAAAAAGUUCACCUACAUGGAGUUUUCAGUUUGUUAGCUGCAGGAAUGACUCUGAUUGUUUGCUCUUCAAAGUUGACACACGGAUAUGUAGGAUUCUAUUGCAUAUUAGCCUUCAUCUGUAGCAGCAUUUGAUCAACAGAAACUGUUUCGCUGGUUGUUACAAGCCUUGAAAAUGCAGUAUACUUGUAACAAAAGCGUUCAGUAAUUUUUCAGCAAAUUUGGAUACUGUACAGACUUUAAUCAUGCAGCGAGUAACCUUAUUACAUACAGAAACGCUCUAUGGCAAACAUGAUGAUGACUAGCACUCAGAGAAGCGAAAGUGCGAAUCACAUGCUCAGGACAUAUGUGCCUCCUGGAUCGGCAAUGUACGUGUUUGUUAAACAAUUUAACAAAUUGUUGUAUGAUAGGGACGUAGAAGAGAGCUUCCAGGAGAAGAGGACACGCCUGGGUGGGGUGGUUUGCAAGGUUGGUGAGCCUAUGGAGAAUCAUGCCGCAAAGAUCUACAUGCGAACAAUGUUCGAGAAGUUCCAGGAUAGUAUGUACAAGAUUGGUUCUUACUACGCCGACAAGGUGGUGCCAGGGGGAGAUGUAUGUUACAACACAUUUUGAUUGCGAGAGCCGAGAGAAGUGGUGCAAGGUGCAGUACAAGGUUUCGGGUAGCGGUGGCUAUUACACAUGCGAAUGCGGCAUGUAUGAGCACAUGGGCAUGCUCUGCUGCCAUGUCCUUAAGGUUCUGGUCCACCUCAGGUUCAAAUUGACGGUGGACGCGCGCGACGUGUUGCCCAUGCACCUGGUGCACUACCAGAAAGAUCAGGGCCUGAUGACAUCCUUCAGUUUCCGGCAUUCCCAGCUAUACCUCAAUUGCAUGGAAGUGGGAUGUAAAUGUUGAUGCAUACACCACAACAAUGGAGUCCAUAAAGGUUAUGGUGCCAAAGCUCAAGAAGGUAGGUGUCGAAGGGGAUGGUUUAGGUCUCGAGGCGAGGCUCAACGUGAAGAAAGCUCGGGUAGAUGGUGCGGCUGCACAAAUGGUCGUGCAGUACCUCCACUGGGACAAUGGGGUCUCUGAUGCAAUCAGUCUGGAUGCAACCCUGCUCGCUCCAUCGAAGAACAGAAGUGGUGGAAGGCCAACAAAUAGCCAUGACAAGCCGCCGUAUGAGACUACGUCGAAGCGUACUAGAUUCUACACGAUAUGCAGGUUCCCCGGACACAAGAGCACAACAUGCCCAGACUGUCCUCCGGGGGUGGCGAAGCCUCGGAAAGAAGCAAAAUGCUCGAAUUGUGGUCUGCCAGGGCACAGUAACAGUAAGACAAGCUGUGUCAACAAAAAUACAGCGGUUUAGCUUGUUCGUGCAUUUGCAGGGAUGUGCCCUAGAUUGCUGUGAGGAAAUUUUGGUUCCGCAAUCUGCUGAUAGCAGAAUGAGAGAUUGGAAAUGUAUUAUCUUUUAUUUAUUGGACAAGGACAUGUGUGCGGGCUCGCUGUGGAUCGUGCCUGUGCGAUGUUUGUUCUUUCCUGCAAUUCUAUUUUUUAGCAUGAUUUGUUUUUGCCA